rnacentral:rRNA from 1 species
CAUACGCUCGUCUCAAAGAUUAAGCCAUGCAUGUGUAAGUAUAAAUAAUUCUACUUUGAAACUGCGAAUGGCUCAUUAUAUCAGUUAUAGUUUAUUAGAAAUAAUUUACUACUUGGAUAACCGUAGUAAUUCUAGGGCUAAUACAUGAGUAAAUCCUCGACUUUGAAGAGGUGUGUUUAUUAGUAUGAAAACCAUAUGCUUUUGCAUAAUAGUGAGUAAUAAUAACCUUUCAUAUCGUAUGUUGUAAUAACGAUAGUUCUUUCAAGUUUCUGCCCUAUCAGCUUUCGAUGGUAGUGCAUUGGACUACCAUGGCAGUAACGGGUAACGAAGAAUUUGGGUUCGAUUUCGGAGAGGGAGCCUGAGAGAUGGCUACCACAUCCAAGGAAGGCAGCAGGCGCGUAAAUUACCCAAUCCUGACAUAGGGAGGUAGUGACAAUAAAUCACAAUGCGGGACUUUUAGUUUUGCAAUUGGAUUGAGAACAAUGUAAAAGAGUUAUCGAUAAACAAUUGGAGGGCAAGUCUGGUGCC